CGGGAAAUAGGGCGUUAAAAGAUGUAGGUAUAUUUUCUAUAGGCAAAUCCGUAGAGAAUGCUGAAGUCCAACAGUACCAGGAGGCUCCGGCCGAAUGGAUAGAGAAUGUAAGCAGACUUCCGAGAAAAUCUUCUAAGCAUAUUGAUACGGUACCCGUACCGCAAACCGACACAGGUAGUCAAGGAGAGAAUCCUGAGGUGCUCGAGUGUGUCAUGGCUAAGGAACUAGGCAAAUUAAACUUGUAACUUCGGGAAAAGGGUUGCCUCUCUUUAGCAAUAAAGAAGGUCGCAGAGAAAUGGCCCAGGCGACUGUUUAACAAAAACACAUGGCUAUGCGAAAUCGUAAGAUGAAGUAUAUGGCCCGACACCUGCCCGGUGCUGGAAGGUUAAGGGGGGAAGUUAGUCGCAAGGCGAAGCUUUGAACUGAUGCCCCAGUAAACGGCGGCCGUAACUAUAACGGUCCUAAGGUAGCGAAAUUCCUUGUCGGGUAAGUUCCGACCUGCACGAAUGGUGUAACGAUCUGGGCACUGUCUCAGCCAUGAGCUCGGUGAAAUUGUAGUCACGGUGAAGAUGCCGUGUACCCGUCACGGGACGGAAAGACCCCAUGCACCUUUACUAUAGCUUCGCAUUGACAUUGGGUAGAUGAUGUGUAGGAUAGGUGGGAGGCGUUGAUCCUGUGCCGCUAGGUAUAGGGGAGCCAACGGUGAAAUACCACCCUUUAUUUAUCUGAUGUCUAAUCCGCAAGACCUGCGGAGACAGUGCGUGGUGGGUAGUUUGACUGGGGUGGUCGCCUCCGAAAGUGUAUCGGAGGCUUUCAAAGGUAUGCUCAAUACGCUUGGUAACCGUAUGUGGAGUGCAAUAGCAUAAGCAUGCUUGACUGUGAGACUGACAAGUCGAGCAGGGUCGAAAGACGGAUAUAGUGAUCCGGUGGUUCUGUAUGGAAGGGCCAUCGCUCAAAGGAUAAAAGGUACGCUGGAUAACAGGCUGAUCUCCCCCAAGAGCUCACAUCGACGGGGAGGUUUGGCACCUCGAUGUCGGCUCGUCACAUCCUGGGGCUGGAGAAGGUCCCAAGGGUUAGGCUGUUCGCCUAUUAAAGUGGCACGCGAGCUGGGUUCAGAACGUCGUGAGACAGUUCGGUCCCUAUCUGUGAUGGGCGUAGGAAGUUUGAGAGGAUCUGACCUUAGUACGAGAGGACCGGGUUGGACCAACCGCUGGUGUACCGGUUGUGGCGUCAGCUGCAUCGCCGGGUAGCUACGUUGGGACGAGAUAAGCGCUGAAAGCAUCUAAGCGCGAAACUCACCUCAAGAUGAGACUUCCAUUAAGGGACGUCAGAGACUAUGACGUUGAUAGGCUGCAGGUGUAAAGGCAGAAAUGUCAAAGCUGAGCAGUACUAAUUACUC
rnacentral:rRNA from 1 species